CACGUAGGGCGCAAGCGUUGUCCGGAAUUAUUGGGCGUAAAGAGCUCGUAGGCGGUCUGUUACGUCUGCUGUGAAAACCGGGGCUUAACCCUGGGCUUGCAGUGGAUACGGGCAGACUAGAGGCAGGUAGGGGAGAAUGGAAUUCCCGGUGUAGCGGUGAAAUGCGCAGAUAUCGGGAGGAACACCGGUGGCGAAGGCGGUUCUCUGGGAAUGUCCUGACGCUGAGGAGCGAAAGUGUGGGGGAGCGAACAGG
rnacentral:rRNA from 1 species